UACAGAGGGGGCGAGCGUUGUUCGGAAUUACUGGGCGUAAAGGGCGCGUAGGCGGCCAACUAAGUCAGACGUGAAAUCCCUCGGCUCAACCGGGGAACUGCGUCUGAUACUGGAUGGCUUGAAUUCGGGAGAGGGAUGCGGAAUUCCAGGUGUAGCGGUGAAAUGCGUAGAUAUCUGGAGGAAUACCGGUGGCGAAGGCGGCAUCCUGGACCGGCAUUGACGCUGAGGAGCGAAAGCCAGGGGAGCAAACGGG
rnacentral:rRNA from 1 species